rnacentral:ncRNA from 1 species
UGAGAUUUUUUUAAUUUGUUAUGCUCACUGAGACAUGUAAUGCAUGGUAUUUUUUGUAUACUUUCGUUUUGCUAUCUAAAUACUAGUUAUUUUAUUCAAUUAAUGCAUGUUUAAAAAACUAUCUUUUACGCAAUUGUUAGGUGGGGGUUUUGGUUAGGACGACACAUCUGUUAAAAGAUAACGCAUGUGACUUAAGAUGAACUCAACGAGAACAAAAAUCUUGUGUUGAACAAAAGGGUAAAAGUCCGUUUGAUUCUAAUUUUCAAUACGAAUACGAAUUGUAAAAGUUUGGCCUAUCGAUCCUUUAGCUCGCCAGGAUUUGAAGCUAGAGGUGUCGGAAAAGUUACCA